UACGUAGGGUGCAAGCGUUGUCCGGAAUUAUUGGGCGUAAAGAGCUCGUAGGCGGUUUGUCGCGUCUGCCGUGAAAAUCCGAGGCUCAACCUCGGACUUGCGGUGGGUACGGGCAGACUAGAGUGUGGUAGGGGAGACUGGAAUUCCUGGUGUAGCGGUGAAAUGCGCAGAUAUCAGGAGGAACACCGAUGGCGAAGGCAGGUCUCUGGGCCACUACUGACGCUGAGAAGCGAAAGCGUGGGGAGCGAACAGG
rnacentral:rRNA from 1 species